GACGAACGCUGGCGGCGUGCCUAAUACAUGCAAGUAGAACGCUGAAGCGAGGAGCUUGCUCUUCUUGGAUGAGUUGCGAACGGGUGAGUAACGCGUAGGUAACCUGCCUUGUAGCGGGGGAUAACUAUUGGAAACGAUAGCUAAUACCGCAUAACAAUGGAUGACCCAUGUCAUUUAUUUGAAAGGGGCCAAUGCUCCACUACAAGAUGGACCUGCGUUGUAUUAGCUAGUAGGUGAGGUAACGGCUCACCUAGGCGACGAUACAUAGCCGACCUGAGAGGGUGGACGGCCACACUGGGACUGGGACACGGCCCAGGCUCCUACGGGAGGGAGCAGGAGGGGAUCUUCGGCAAUGGGGGGAAAGCUGGCCGAGCAACGCCGGGGGGGUGGAGGAGGGUUUCGGAUCGUAAAGCUCUGUUGUAAGUGAAGAAAGAGUGUGAGAGUGGAAAGUUCACACUGUGACGGUAGCUAACCAGAAAGCGACGGCUAACUACGUG
rnacentral:rRNA from 1 species